UGAGGUUGCCACCUGAUCAGCCUGUCC
rnacentral:piRNA from 1 species